UCCGCCUGGGGAGUACGNCCGCAAGGUUGAAACUCAAAGGAANUGACGGGGGCCCGCACAAGCGGUGGAGCAUGUGGUUUAAUUNGAAGCAACGCGAAGANCCUUACCAGGUCUUGACAUCCCGAUGCCCGCUCUAGAGAUAGAGUUUUANUUCGGUACAUCGGUGACAGGUGGUGCAUGGUUGUCGUCAGCUCGUGUCGUGAGAUGUUGGGUUAAGUCCCGCAACGAGCGCAACCCUUAUUGUUAGUUGCCAUCAUUCAGUUGGGCACUCUAGCGAGACUGCCGGUAAUAAACCGGAGGAAGGUGGGGAUGACGUCAAAUCAUCAUGCCCCUUAUGACCUGGGCUACACACGUGCUACAAUGGCUGGUACAACGAGUCGCAAGUCGGUGACGGCAAGCUAAUCUCUUAAAGCCAGUCUCAGUUCGGAUUGUAGGCUGCAACUCGCCUACAUGAAGUCGGAAUCGCUAGUAAUCGCGGAUCAGCACGCCGCGGUGAAUACGUUCCCGGGCCUNGU
rnacentral:rRNA from 1 species